CCCCUUCUUGCUUUUACCGUCUAUAUACCGCCGUCGUCAGCUCACCCUGUGAAGGCCUCAUAGUAAGCACAACUAGAAACUACCUUAAAACGUCAGGUCGAGGUGUAGCAAAUGAAGGGGGAAGAAAUGGGCUACAUUUCCUACUUUAGGAUAUACGGACUGUAUGCUGAAACACAUACUACAAAGGAGGAUUUAGUAGUAAAUAGAAAAUAGAGAGUUCUAUUGAAACCGGCCCUUAAGCGCGCACACACCGCCCGUCACUCUCUUCUAACCAAAAUUUUUUAUACAUAAAACACUUCAAGGGCCCAGAGGAGAUAAGUCGUAACAUGGUAAGUGUACCGGAAGGUGUACUUGGAAAAAA
rnacentral:rRNA from 1 species